GUAUGUCCUUAACCUUGGCACAACAAAUCUCUAAAUCGAUUGAGACCUGUCUCAGAUACUUUUUGGUUUAUAAGAUGGGGGCUGAAAUUAAAGAGAAAGCUCCUCACUCAGCUCACAAAGGAGCAGAAUGGGAAGAGGACUUAGUGAGAAUUCCCUGAACACAGGAGAAAACCGAAGCCCAGAGAGUGGAUGGCCAAGUCCAAGGCCACAUAGCCAAGUGCAUCUGAGCAGCGCAGGAUCCAGGUUUCCUGCCCCAGUGCUGUUUCUGCAGCCCGUGCCACCUGUUUUCAUACUAUCUCGGUUCACCAUCCAGCUACACACCUGCAAUCAGAAACAGAAAGUCUGAGAGUGUGUGUGGAGCCAAAGAGGGGACAGCAGUGGUGCGGCCAGUUUCAUGUCUUGUGAUUUAUUUUCUCCCUUUCUUUUUGGACUUUAAUCUUAAGUGGACAGCAGUUUGGAACAGUGCCAGCACCUUGUUGGAUUGUGCUGUUUGGGAGAGGUGACACAGAGUAUUUUAAAAGAGCAGGUUAAGAACUUUUCAUAAAGAAUCAAUUGAGAAAAAAUAAAAUAGAAACAGAAUGUCCCACAUUUGGGCUGAGCACCAAACAAAUUUUUUUUUUUUUUUUUUGAGACUGAGUCUUGCUGUGUCACUCAGGCUGGAAUGCAGUGGUGCGAUCUCGGCUCACUGCAGCCUUCGCCUCCCAGGUUCAAGUGAUUCUUCUGCCUCAGCCUCCCAAGUAGCUGGGAUUACAGGUGCCCACCACCACGCCAGGCUAAUUUUUGUAUUUUUAGUAGAGACGGGGUUUCACCAUGUUGACCAGGCUGGUCUUGAACUCCUGACCAAGUGAUCCACCUGCUUCGGCCACCCAAAGUGCUGGGAUUAUAGGCAUGAGCCACCGCACCUGGCCUCAAACAAGCUUUUUAAUUGCAUUCAGAAGUGCACCAACUAGGCACAGACCUCUGGCAUGGAAACAGAAUGGGAGGUUCUUGGUGUCUGGCCUGGUCUUGCAGAAAUCAGGGAGUUGCCGGGACCAGGCAGCCACUGUGCAUCAGAUAGGAGUUUCAGCAGCAGGCAACAGAAAGCCUGCCAAUGUAGCUGAAAUAAGAAGGGCUUAUUUUUAUCCCUGAACAGAAGCUUCCAGCACUGGUUCAUCAGGUCAGGGCACUGAGCUGGCAUCCCCAUUUAUACAGUUUUCCUUUCCUUCACCUUUGUAAGAUGCCUGGCACAGCUCUGAGCAUCAAAUAUCUGUGCCAUGUGGGAGCACACGAGGGGACAAGUGGGGAAUAGGGUCUCCUCCGUCCUCUGUCCCCAGGCUGGCUUCUCUCAUGGUAGAAGGACCCCCACAGCACCAGGCCUCAUAACUACCCUGCUGGUAAACUGCAGGUGCUGUCAAGGCUUCCUGCCUUCGUAUAUGAAAUGUUCCUUGACAGCUGGACUGCUGUUUACCGCACGCACCGCUCUGCUGCCUCUUGGUUGCACCAGUGAGCUAUUGCUCCAUGACAAACCACACCGAAAUGUAGCAAGUACUUAUUGUUGCCCACAUGUCUCAAGUCAGUUGAGUGUUUCUGCCAAUCGGGGCCUGGCUUGGCCCACCUUGGCUGAGCUUGCUCUGGUGCUAGGGUCAGCUAGACAGGUUGGCAGGAGACCAGCUGCUCUAGAAGAGCCUGGACAGGAUGAAUUGGUUCUCCUUCCACGUGCAUCUUGCAUCCCUCCAGCUAAGUAUUUGAACCCAGGUCUCAUCUGACUCCAAACGCACCAAGAAGAUGGAGCCUAGAGUGACACAGAGGAAGAGGCCCCUGGAUGGAUGCAUGGGGAAGGUUAGAAGCAAGGCACAAGUCAUACCUACAUUCAAGGAGAGGAGACCAUGCAAAGGAUAAACUUCAGAGAGACAACAGAUUUACAUCCCAGACACAUUCACACUGGGCAAAGAGCAGCUGCCAUUGCAGAUUUGAGUCACGUCCUUUUUUCCCUCCUUCUCCUUCUUGGAGUUACAGCAGAAGCUGGGGAGGUGAGAGUGCAGAAAGGACAUGGAUGAAGCAGAGAGGCAUGUGCCUGUCUCAUUCGCCUCUGGAUCUGCUGCAUCCAGGACCAUGUCAGCACAAAGUGGGAGCCCGAUAAAUAUUUAUUGAAGAAAUGAAAGGUGACAAAAGGCAGAAGGAGGGAGACCCCCAAAAGAGAGAUGGGAUCUCACUAUAUUGCACAUGCUGGUCUCAAAUUCCUGAGCUCAAGUGAUCCUCCUGCCUUGGCCUCCCAAGGUGCUGAGACUACAGGUGUGAGCCACCACUCCCAGCCUGAUUUAUAUUUUAUAAAGAGGCAAAGAUGGAGUGUACAGCUGAGCAAUCUCUUACAUUUCUGGACCUUGAGCAUCAGGAAGCUUAGGGAGGGUGAAAACUCAGAAGAAAGCUCAGAGUUGAGACCUUUGAUUUUUUGCCCAGAGAGUCCAGCUAACAUACUUUAUAACCCAGAAGGCCUUACAAAUAUUUCAGAGCAGCGGCAGCAUUUUUGCACUGGAUAAACAAAGGUACGGUAAUUUCUUCAUAGUUUAUUUUCAUUACAAGUAAUUCUUUUCCUGAAGAAAAAUUUAUAUUUUGGAUUUAUUUCCCCUCUCAAAGGGGAGGGGAGUUAUAAUAUUCUGUUUUCAUAGCACCAUUCCUCAAGAUCAAACCCAGGCAGGCAUUUUUACAGCACACAUUUCCAUAUGUCAUUGCUAAUCCUCGCAACCUUGAGGAAACCGAGGUGCAAAAGGGUUGAGGAAUGUGUUCACCAUCCCAAAGCCAACGAAGUGCCAGAACCCAAAUCCAAGCUUGGCUGUCUCAUCCCCAAGGACAUACUCUUUAUGCCAUUCCUUAUGACUUUUCAUGCAGCAGGCACGAGGCAGCAAGAAUUUGGCUCUUCCGACAUUUAUCAGGCACCUGGUAUGUGCCAGGCCUACUGUAAACCCCAAAAUGACAUGGUCCAUGUCUAGCCAUUCAGCAUCAGAGAGACUGUUAUCAGGACUUGAGGCCUGAGACACAGCCCUGAAUCAGAUGCAGGCCUCUGGUGUGUGCAAAGGAUGCGUGAGUAUGUGUAUGUGUAUGCGUGCAUUGUGUGUAGGGGUGUGUGUAUGUUGGGGGUUGGGGGUAGAAAAUGCUCCCUGAACUGUUGCUAUUAAGGCAGAUCUUUGAUGGAGGGACUGGGGUGUGGAGACUCGAACCCUAGUUUCGAAGUGGGGACUUUGAACGCUAGUAUGGCCAGCAGACAGGCUGGAGUUGCUGAAUUCUCAGCUAGGUCUUUAAUCCACUCCCCUUCUCUAAAUCAGGGUAGAAUUGGACUCAGGGCUGGUUCAGGGCUGAGGUUUCAGGGGGAUGAAUGAUUCCAGACACUGGGAAGGAGUGAUGGAUGAUGAACCUGGCAGGUCACAGGACCAUGGACUUGGCUGUAUGUUGCAUGGGUGUGUAAGAUCUGAGUUGAGACCUUUGAUUUUUGCCCAGAAAGUCCAGCUAACAUACUUUAUAACCCAGUGAGACCAGCCAGUGGCUGUUCAUUGCUUCUGCCUUGCCCCUAUGCCUGCCCGCCUCCCAUAGCAGGUCCCUAUAGCAUCAUGAAAAUGCGAACAACCUUUUCUCUGGACACUAGGGAAUCUAGUCUGGUGGAUAAAGAUGGAUGGCUGUUAUUAAACGAUC
rnacentral:lncRNA from 1 species